GAUGAAGAACGUAGCGAAAUGCGAUAAGUAGUGUGAAUUGCAGAAUUCAGUGAAUCAUCGAAUCUUUGAACGCACAUUGCGCCUCCUGGCAUUCCGGGAGGCAUGCCUGUUCGAGCGUCAUUAAAAUCACUCAAGCGUAGGUUUGCCUAUUGCUUGGUCUUGAAGAUGGAAGCUAAGUAAUUAGAAUCCUCUUCGAAAUCCAAUGGCGAAGACCCUUGCUCUCCCAAGUGUAGUAAUAACUUAUUCACUGAAGGAAGCGAGUAAUCUUCUACCGUAACCCCCAUAUUUUCUAUGAUUGACCUCGGAUCAGGUAGGGAUACCCGCUGAACUUAAGCAUAUCAAUAAGCGGAGGA
rnacentral:misc_RNA from 1 species